UUUGGCGCGUCACGACAAAAACCCUACAUGAAAUCGCACGCCGUCCGCCUCUCUUCGCGAGAUCGGGAGAGGCGAUGGGAUCCGGCGAAAAGGAAGCGAGCGACCUCUCUGAUUCUUCCGUUCCAUUUGAUUUCUUUGCCAAACAGAACGCCUCCAGUUCCCUCCCGUUUCCGGUGCCCGAGCUGCUCCCUCGACUUCUUCCAGUUGCAGAUGAUUCUUUCUCUUCGCCUUCUCGUAUCGUUAGGAAACAAUUACUGAACUGGGAGAUUGAAAAGAAGCCAUAUAUGAAGCAGUUGCAUGGUUAAUCAUUAACUUGCUUAUUGUGGGAAGCCAUUGGUAAAGGAGCCAUACAGAGGUGCCUCUCUAGACAAUUUUGGUAUGGAAUAGAAAGUCCAUGUUUCACGUUUGGAUGAUCUGAACUCCAUUGCUGAGCGGUGUAGCUAGGCAAUGUUCUCCAGCUGACAAAAGUCAAUAGUGUUUCACAGUGGUCAGAUCGACUGCAUUAUCAAGGUGUGAUUGAGAUAGGAAGAGAAAGGAGAAAAGAAGAAUUAGAAAGAAAGAAGAAACUCUCCAGUUAUUCUAUCAAUCCACAGGUACAUCGUUCUCAUGUUGUUUUCAUUGUUUCUUAUAGAUGUGGCAGUUCAUAUUAGUCUUUAAAUGCGAUUCUUAUUUUCUUUCUUUGCCAUAAGAUGAUGUUGCUCUGUUAUUAUGUCAUUAAACAGUGGAUGUUAGGUUUUUGUUUCUUUCAGCAACACCAUAA